CCUACGGGUGGCAGCAGUGGGGAAUAUUGGGCAAUGGGCGCAAGCCUGACCCAGCAACGCCGCGUGAAGGAAGAAGGCUUUCGGGUUGUAAACUUCUUUUCUCAGGGACGAAGAAAGUGACGGUACCUGAGGAAUAAGCCACGGCUAACUACGGGCCAGCAGCCGCGGUAAUACGUAGGUGGCAAGCGUUAUCCGGAUUUAUUGGGUGUAAAGGGCGUGUGGGGGGGAGCGGUAGUCAGAUGUGAAAAAUCAGGGCUCAAACCUGAGCCUGCAUUUGAAACUGUGUGUCUUGAGUGCUGGAGAGGCAAGCGGAAUUCGUGGUGUAGCGGUGAAAUGCGUAGAUAUACGGAGGAACACCAGUGGCGAAGGCAGAAUGCUGGACAGUAACUGACGCUGAGGCGCGAAAGCGUGGGGAGCGAACAGGAUUAGAUACCCCAGUAGUC
rnacentral:rRNA from 1 species